AUGUUGUCUGUAGCUCUGCUGCUGGUUUUGGCUGCCGGAUCCAGUGUGAAGUGUGAGCAGCUGACUCAACCAGCCUCUGCGACUGUGCAGCCAGGUCACCGUCUGACCAUCAGCUGUCAGGUGUCUUAUAGUCUGGACGCCUGGACACACUGGAUCAGACAGCCUGCUGGGAAAGGACUGGAGUGGAUCGGUUUCACAUGCAGAACAUGCACUCCAGUCUACAAAGAUUCUUUAAGAAACAAGUUCAGUUUUACAGUGGAUUCUUCCAGUAAAACAGUCACUCUGAACGGACAGAAUCUACAGCCUCAGGACUCUGCAGUGUAUUACUGUGCUAGAGACCCCACACUGACGCAACACUUCUGCAGAGCUGAACAAAAACCCUUCAGAGCCUGA